AAAAAAAAAAAUUUCCUAAUCAUAAUCGAAACCGAUUAGAUUCAGACUCAAACAAUUUUGAUAGGUCUCAUGUUGACCAGAAAAUUUUGGGGCCAAUAAUUACAAUUUAAAAUCCACAAUAAGCCUAUUCAUAAAUGUGAAUUAAUGGGCCUCAUGAAAACCCUUUAAAAUUUUAGGCAUAUACAAUAAUUCGGGCCUCAUCUCAGCCCAAUGAAUAAUUGUGCCCAACAAGUUUCAUCAAAGUGGGCCCAAUUUCAGCCGAAUUCAUGGGAUCACGGCCCACAAUUUCACCCAUGUUUGAAAAUUCAAUUUCGAAUAUCAUAUUUAAAUUCGAUUUUAAAUUUUUAAACCCCCAGAAAAUAUCUGUUAUCCUAAUAACCCUAUUCGAAAUUCGAUUUCGAACUUCGAACCAACUCCCAAAAUAUAUCUCAACCAACAUUCAUUCGAAUUUUGAAUACCUAUCCAUCCCACAACCCAUUCAAAAUUCAAUUUUGAAUUUCGAAUCCCCAAAAUAUACUUCAACCAUCCAACAACCCAUUCAAAAUUCGAUUUCGAAUUUCGAAUCCCUAACCGACUCCCCAAAAUAUCCUUCAACUAUCCAACAACCCAUUUAAAAUUUGAUUUCGAAUUUCGAAUUUCAAACCAAUUUUCAAAAUAUCCUCCAACAACCCAUUCAAAAUUCGAUAUCGAAUUUUGAAUCCCUAACCAAUUCCCAAAAUAUCCUCCAACAAUCCAUUCAAAAUUCGAUUUCGAAUUUCGAAUUCCCAACCAAUUCCCAAAAUAUCCUCUAACAACCCAUUCAAAAUUCGAUUUCGAAUUUCGAAUUCCCAACCAAUUCCCAAAAUAUCCUCGAACAACCCAUUCAAAAUUCGAAUUUCGAAUUUUGAAUUCCAACCAAUUUUCAAAAUACCCUCCAACUAUCCAACAACUCAUUCGAUUUCAAAUUUCGAAUUCCCAACAAAAUCCCAAAUAUCUUUCAACCAACAACAACAACCUAAUCAAAAUUCAAAUUCGAAUUUCGAAUCCCUCAAAAUAUCUCUCACCACCCCUCCCAUUAUAAAUACAAGAACCGAAAUCAAACUCGGGGAGAAUUUUUUUUACGGA
rnacentral:lncRNA from 1 species